rnacentral:rRNA from 1 species
GACGAACGCUGGCGGCGCGCCUAACACAUGCAAGUCGAACGAGCGAGAGAGAGCUUGCUUUCUCGAGCGAGUGGCGAACGGGUGAGUAACGCGUGAGGAACCUGCCUCAAAGAGGGGGACAACAGUUGGAAACGGCUGCUAAUACCGCAUAAGCGCACAGUACCGCAUGGUACAGUGUGAAAAACUCCGGUGGUGUGAGAUGGACCCGCGUCUGAUUAGCUAGUUGGCAGGGCAACGGCCUACCAAGGCGACGAUCAGUAGCCGACCUGAGAGGUGACCGGCCACAUUGGGACUGAGACACGGCCCAAAUCCUACGGAGGCAGCAGUGGGAAUAUUGCAC